UUUCGUAGCUUGUAGGUAAUGUAUGAGACAGAGGCAGAGACAGAGGCAGAGACAGAGUGAGAGUGAGAGUGAAAUUCCAAUAAAGAUCAAACUUUAGUACUUUACCUGUAGUCGUUGCGCGUCUUCGUCUCAACCAAAACCACCACUCGAUCUCAAUGAGUUUAAUAUCAAGGGGGAUUCAAUUCCCCGGCCGAGACAAUGAGAGUUUGGCAGCUAUCUUUACUCCUUGUUCAGUAUCAGAUUCCGAUUAUGAUGCUUGUCUUCCCCAGUAGAUUCUGCGUGAUUUUCCUGUGCAAAGCUUUACAGCUGAACAAACAAAGGAAGUCUUGAUGUUACAAGAAACAUUAUUGAGCUUCUUACAACAGUCUUACACACUUCACCCCAACAAGAUUCUUUGAAGAGAAUUGUCAGAAUCGAACGGGGGCAACUUCAUAGAUCAGAGAGUAAGAUGAGGGCAGAGGUGGGCUACUUACUUUCUCCAAUAGGCACAACAUUACAUUCUGUUUGUAGGUCAUGAAACCCAUCCCUUUUCCCCAUGGGAUGGAGCCAUAGCUACCCCAUCAAGGAGGACAGAUUGGCGUUGCUGCACCCAAUUGGAAAGCCAUCAAUUUUGAAUGUUCCUAAUGAAGACUACGGCUAACAACAAUGAACACCAUGACUUGCUUAGACCAGUUAUUGCAAAUGCUGUAGAGAAUAGUCAGAAUCAAAUGGACGCAACUUCAUAUGUAUAUAGCAGAGAACAAGAUAAGGGCGGAGGUUGGCUACUUACUUUCUCUGUCCGGCGCAACAUUACAUUCUGUUUUGUGGAAGAUGGUACCUAUUUGCCUACAGUCGUGCAUUUGGCGGGAAAGGAAUGAUCGGAACUUCAAGUAUCAGUAGUGCCCUUCAGGUCACGAAACCCGUCCUUUUUCCCCAUGGGAUGGAGCCACUGCUACCCCAUAGAGGAGGACAGACUUGCGUUGCUGCACCUGAUUGGAAAGCCAUCAACUUUGAAUGUUCCUGAUGAAGACUACGGCUAACAAUGAUGAGCACCUUGACUCGCUUAGACCAGCUCAAAGCAUUGCGAUAGGUGUGAUUGUAUACCAUGCAAUAAGAACACGAAUCUCUGCCCUCCCUCAAGACAGAUCUCUAUGGAAGUUACUCUUGGAUGAUCUUCUCAAGAAUUCAGUCACCAACUUCAAGAAUGCAGAUGAAUUCUCCUUGAAUAACUGAGCUAGGGAGUCGUACUCUACAACCAAAACAGCAGCAAUAAUAAGCUAAAAUCAAUUCAAUGAUGUAUGCAGUCUUAUAUAAUUGAUACUAAUCUAUAUGAUUCUUAGCAAUUUUAUAAA